GCUCUGGUGGCCUAGUAGUUAGAGCAUAUGCUUCAGAUGCAGGAGGCUGUGGGUUCAAUCCCUGGCCAAAUCA